rnacentral:rRNA from 1 species
CAGCCGCCACGGGAAUACGUAGGUGGCAAGCGUUGUCCGGAAUUAUUGGGCGUAAAGGGCUCGCAGGCGGUUUCUUAAGUCUGAUGUGAAAGCCCCCGGCUCAACCGGGGAGGGUCAUUGGAAACUGGGAAACUUGAGUGCAGAAGAGGAGAGUGGAAUUCCACGUGAAGCGGUGAAAUGCGUAGAGAUGUGGAGGAAUACCAGUGGCGAAGGCGACUCUCUGGUCUGUAACUGACGCUGAGGAGCGAAAGCGUGGGGAGCGAACAGGAUUAGAUACCCCGGUAGUCCCUGUCUCUUAUAC